GCCUGCAAAUUCUUUUGAGACACCUCACAACCCCGGUCAGGGAACUCACAUUUUUAGAGUACCCCCUUUCCCAACCUCAACAAUCAUAUCUAUUUCUGAUUUACUUUUUGAGCCUUUGCUCCUCCUCGGCCCCCGCUCCACUCGAUGACCCACUGUUGAUGUCCUGGCGCCCAACCGUGGGGCUCGAAGUGGACCUCGGCCCGACAUCGCAUCCCGAGCAUUCCGCGAGAGAAUUCACGGUCUCUACGGAACCCCAUAAGGGUAGAGGUUUUGCUCUCCCAGUAAGAUUUGGGGACUUAGAUGAGCUGCCCUGCCUUCAAGUUCCAGCGUGGAAUCGCCAGAGGAGCCCUCGCCAUUCAAGACGCACUGUGCUGGGUAAGAUGGCAUCUCUUCCUCCCCAACCCUCGUUCUGGCCUCUCCUCCCCCUUCUUCCAUGGAGUGGGGAGUGUAGAACUCGAGGCCUGGUUCGGACCUCUCCCAUGUGGCUUGGCAACCUGCCGUUUAAAUGCUCCUAUCCUGCCCCCUUCUUGGGGUUACUGUACAGUGGGGAGAUUGGGCACUCAAUCUAAAUCUUCUCAAAUCUCCGGAAAAGUUGUUACCAACUUUUAAAAUAGAAAUUUGCUAGCAAUUUGGACAAGUGAGCCGCGCCCCUUCCAGACCUUUACCUGGCUCUUAAAGCCGCAGCUUCUAGCCCUCGGGACGUGUGCUCGUCCUAUACAUUUAAACGGGACUCAGUUUUCCUGAUUUGGUCAUCCUGCGUCUGUAGAAGCCUCAGAAUUACGCUUUCGCAUGCUCACAAGGCUGUCUACAAAGAUGGGAUUUUAAACUGCUCUCGGUUUUUUUUCUUAGCUUCAGGGCACUACUUAAAACUUUCUUAGCUGCUUAUGGAGAGAUAAUCUAGGUAAGCCAGGCUAGGUCUGUCUGUCUCACACUUUCCUACCUAACCCUACAGGUGGGAACUCUUUUGCUCCUAAUUUUCUUAGUCCUAAAACCUUUUGCUCUUAGUACCCUCGGUUCUGGUUCUAUUCUUUUCUGGAUUGGCAUUCUAUGUCCCUGCCAACAAAGGGUUUUUUUCCUGGGCUCCAACCCUGGCCAGGUUGCAGCUUCAAGAAAGACCUUUGGAAUGAUGGCUGGGGAAUAAAAUUUUAGGUCAAGGCAAAUUAAAUUCUUUAGAAGAUGGCUUUUUAUUUCCUUUCUCUCCUCAUUCCUUGACUGCAGCAAGAAAUGAGUUAAUGAGAGAGACUGAAGCCAUUUAAGAAUUCGGUGAAUACCCUUAGGAAAGAAGUCUGUCUUUCCCGUGUGCUUUUCUCAUGUUCUCUAGACUUGUUCCCUGUUUUCCCUCCCCAUUCUUUGAGAUGCUGAGGGACUAAGAUGGGAUAGUUUACCUUCCUACUUAGAUGGUGUGUUUUAUAGAGGUAUUGGGUAAUUUGUAACUGAGUUAUGCCUUAAAAUUUGUCAUCUCUGAUGGGCAAUUGUAAGUUAUAUGAAGUUUGGUUCAAUUACUUGUGAACUUCAAGAUCUGUGUAAUGUUAAAUUUAAAACUGUCUACUUAGAUAAGAAAGAUAGCUGUAUAAGCUGUAAACCCUUUACUGUGAUUCUUGAACUAGAUUUUAUCUGAAGUCCUUGAUUAAUGAUAACUGAUGUAGAAGAUAAAAUCCUUUGGGACUGCAGCUAAUAUUUGCUGGGAGUUUUGAGUUCAGGUGUGACUGCAUAGACCAGAAGUAAAACUGCCUUAAGUAGCUAUUUUAAUUUGUGGCCACACUAUGGUUGCUGCUAAGCUUUUUAUUUCCUGGGGCUAGAGUUUCUUUAUCAAAAGGUUUACUUCGCCCAAGUACUUGGGCCACUCCCACCUUGCCUUUUGAGAAAGAUGACCGGCCUUUUACACUGUAUGUUGAUGGAAGGCAGGGCCAGGCCCCUGACUUGCGGCUCAAAUGCCCGGGCUAAUUUGAGCUCGCUAGGAGACUCUUGGCAGUCUUGGGGGGAUUUGUCGCUCAUAGGACACUGUGAGGCCCUGAGUCUUAAACUCUAGGUCUCUGGACAGGUAGGCUUGGCUAGGCCUUCUAGGGUGACUGGAGUCAAUUGGCGACAAUGGGCGUGUUUGGGUGUUUUUGGAAUUUAGAUUCCGUCCAAAUUCAAUGGGUGUGGCCCAGUCCCAGUCAGCCCUCGCGGAGAGAAAUGAGAAAAAUGAUCAGAGAAUACCGGUAGAUAGUCCCUUGGGAAACAAAUUAAGUAAUUGGAACAAACUGCCAAAAUAUAAAGGAAAAAGCAAGAAAAAAAUGAUAAGGUAUUGCUGCUUUGUCUGGGGUGACAAAGACAUUGGUGGAGGCACUAUUUGGCCCAAAUUUGGCUCCCUUGAAGAUUGGGUGUGCCAAAUACUGAAUUUGUGUGUUAAUAACAAAGAACCUGUUAAUCCAGAGGAGGUUCUAUAUGCAGGACUAUAGCUUUCCGGGGCUUCUAUAAUGUUAAGAGUCCAAGUGUAAAGGACGCGAAGGAGGAAACUUUAAAGACCCAGCAAUGGGACCCAUUGUUAUCUCUCCCUCCUCCAUACUUAUCCCCACCCCCAGAAGAAGCCAUGGUUUAAGGAAAGGGAAGGUGAGGACUUAAUCCCAUCAGCUCCUCCGGGGCCCCUCAGGGCAAGGGAGGAUUUAAUUCGAUUGACCCCACCUGGACUCCAAAAAGAGUCAUUCUCCUCUUUAAGGAAGGAAUUAGAUCAAAUUCAAAGAGAUAUCCGAAAUUAUCCUUUGCCGGGAACUAAAACCCCAAGUCCUAAAUUAUAUCCCUUAAGAAAGGUUCCUUCGGCCCAGGGAGGUAUAGGAUUUGUGAAUGCUCCUCUGAGCACCACAGAAGUCAGGGCCUUUAAGAAGGAAAUGAGGUCCUUGAUAGAAGACCCCACUGGGCUAACAGAACAGUUUGAUCAAUUCAUUGGAAUUUGUCUCCUAGGACCUAACAUGCUUCCUCCCAAACAGCUUGAAGGCGUUUGCAACCACACCAUACCUGUCAACCUGACGUGGCAAUAUGUGGCCGCUCCUGACGGCUCUUAUUUUGCCUGCUCUGCUGGCCUUACUACAUUUCUGGAUGCCCGAUCUUUUAUCAAAAAACGCGAUUACUGCGUCUCUGUCUUUCUCUUCCCUCAUAUUAAUAUAUACCAGGCCGAUGAUUUCCUUGAUAUCUGGGAAAGAAAAAGUACUGGCAAUUUCAGGACCAGGAGGGAACCCCUUACUGCAUUAACCCUGACCGUCCUCCUUGGCCUAGGAGCGGUAGGAAUGGGGACGGGUAUAGCCUCCCUCAUACAAAAUGACAAACAAUAUUCCCAAUUGAGCGCUGCUAUAGAUAAGGAUUUACAGGAAUUGCAAGCAGGACUUAAACACCUUAAAGACUCAGUAGCAUCCUUAGCUGAAGUCGUCCUGCAAAACAGAAGAGGCUUAGACCUUCUCUUCUUACAACAAGGAGGUCUUUGUGCAGCCCUCAAGGAGGAAUGCUGCUUUUAUUCAGAUAAACUUGGCCUUGUUGAAAACAGCCUACAAAAAGUUAGGGACAGUCUGGAAAAAAGAAAACAGGAAAGAGAAAAAAAUGAAUCCUGGCAUAAGAACUGGUUCUCCACUUCCCCCCUGCUAUCCACUCUUCUCCCUAGUAUUCUCGGCCCUCUCGUGGGACUCCUUCUCCUCCUUUCUUUUGGCCUUUGGGCCUUUAAUAAACUAACCACUUUCGUUAAAUCUCAAGUAGAUUCUGCGAUCACAAAAAGACACAUCUUUUAUCAUCAGUUAUGAGACCAAGACACCUUGAAACCUGAAGAGAAGAUCGAAACACUCAAAUUCACUGAACAGCUCCUGAAACAGACAGGGUGUCAACGAUUGAGAAAAUUGUUGUUCUCAUGCUUUAAAAAAUCUUGAAUGUCAUGGAAUCUGUAUAACUGUGUAGUCUGUGUGAUAUAUGUUCUAUGUUCUGUGUGGUUUGUCUGUUAUGUUGUUGGUUGGAAAACAACGUUGCAACUGUACAUAGUAAAUUGGAGCUCCAUGUUUGUCUGUGUGUGUCUGUGUUAAAAGUUAAAAUAAGCUUGUAAGAGAUAAGAAUUCAGCCUCUGUGUUGCAGGCUUAGAAAAUAUCAAGAAGUUUGAAAAAUCUUUCUCUCUCUCUCUUUGUCUCUGGCUGACUGCAGCAGCCUGUGAGAAGGGAGAUAAGGGAAAAAGGAAACAAAACUUCUCUCUGAGGGUGGGGAAUCCUGGAAUAAGCCCCUAAUCUGUUUUUGCUGAUUUAAAAGCUUUGUUAAGUUUUAAGAACAUUGAUUAAGGAAAAUUUGCAUUAGGAAAAGCCUACUAGAGUAAAGAGCAAUAAAAUUCAAGCUUAGCCUGGCCUGGGCAAUAAAAAGCUCUAAAGAUAAGAUGCUAAUCGCUGUUAGAAGAAAUGUGGUAGAAGAAAAAACUUUUAAAAACAGCUGUAUUAGUUUGAUUCAGUUUGUUACCUUCUGAAAUUUGUUAACAUAAGUUAAUACUUUAAAACCAGCUCUGCUGGACAUGUGUGGGUUUUUGGAGGUUUAUUAUUCACCAUAGGGUGAAUCUUACAGGUUUUUGAAGGGAAAAGGAAAGAGGAAUGCAGGUGAUUUAGGAAGGACUGAUUCGUAAGGGAAAUUAAAGGUUUGCAUGGUUUUAGGAAGGUGAAAGAAAGACUUUUGGGAGUAGGUGAAGAGGUGGGGGAAGGAGUCACCCACCUCCACUGCCUUCUGCUACUUUACCAAAGGAGCAUCUGGGAAGGAAAGUUCUUUAAGGAGAUUGUUUAAGUAUGUAGUCAGAGGGAAAGAGAAAGUUGGAAAUGGGUGGAUUUGGGAAGAAACCUGAUAUUGGGAAACUGAUGGGUUAAAUCUUGAAAAGGAUCCCCAUUAGGAAAUUGAGUGGGGAACCUGAGGGAAGUUUUUCCUAGGGGUCAGGAGUGGGGGAAGGGUGGCCACAUGGAAUCCUCUCCUCCCCUCUCCUCUCUAAGUAUGUUCCUGCCGUUUUUUUUCUUAUCUGAUUGCGGCAGUGCA